GGUUUCACCAUGUUGGCCAAGCUGGUCUCGAACUCCUGACCUCGUGAUCUGCCCCCCUCAGCCUCCCAAAGUGCUGGGAUUACAGGCGUGAGUCACCGUGCCCAGCAGAAACAAACUUCUUUAUGGAAAUAAAAUUGAAAAGAGAACAUUGCCAAAUAAAAAAUGUUUGCACCACACACUUGUUACAAACAGCCAAGAUGUUAUUCAAGACUAUUGCAAAAGAGGAGAGGGAUUGAACUCAACUCCUAAUUAUUGCAAAGACAGCUGGAGAUUUAUACCCAAUGAGGAGAGUGAGGAGGUCAGUGGAUCAACAAUUGGUAAGGAUGAGAGAUUCUUGAAGGACUUAGCAGGAUUAUUUGCAAAAAUGGGGCUCAACAGGCCAAAUUAGAAGCCUAGACGAGAAGAAGUUUCAAAGGACCCUGACUAAAGUUGGCACAGAAGAGAGUCUUUGUCACUGUGCAGGUGAUGGAUAGAAACAGAAACUAAAAGCCACUGUACUACACAAAGUUGGAGAAAAUUCUCUUUGUGGUUUAUUGAGUUUAGGGAGAUAAAAAGCACCCUGGUGAAAGGAACCUGCCCACCACAUAGCCUGGGGCCUCCUAGAGUAUUUAGAAUGGAGCAUGACAUUCUAAGGACAUCGGGAAGUGUUUACUGAGAAACCUGAGUGAAAGUAUGUCUGAGUCACAUGCGACAGCAAUCAUGAAGUCAGGAAUUUAUGGAACUCUUAGUUCAUCCACUCAACAUUCACUCAGCAAGUAUUUAUGGAGAGCCCAAACGUAUUUAUGGAGAGCCUAUUAUGUUGCAAGCACUGUCUUAGGUGCUUAAGAUAUAGCAAUGAAAAUAACAGAAAGAAAAUUGUUCUCAGGGAGCACAUAUUCAUAUGGGAGGGAAGAGACAAUUUUAAAACACAACAAAUAAAUAAAACAGGCAGUUAAAUGAAUGACAUGGAGAGAAAUUGGUAGCGUGGGGGUGUGGUGUAAUUUAAAUAGGGUGGUGAGAUCUCAGUAAGAAGGUCACAUCUGCAUAAAGACCUAAAUGAAAUUAAGGAGUGAACCCAGUGGAUAUUGAGGGAAGACGUUAAUAGAAGCAGUUGGCUGCUUUGUGAACGAAUCACUGAGUUAGGGUAUAGGCUGUGACUAACUGCCCAUCUUCCUUUCUUCCUUCCCUGGCUCUCUUCUACUCAUCCCUCAGGUUUUGACUUAAAAACUUCUCCUUUGGAAGCAUUCUCUGUUUUCUUCUUGUCUAGAUUAUGAACACUUUUCUGUAUCCCCACAGCAUUCUACUUCCUCUAUCAAAAUAGUUAUCACACUUCAUCAUAUACAUUUCUUUCCAUAUUACUCUAUAAAGACUAAGAAAACCUUCUUGUGCCACUCAAAAUUAUGUCUCUGAUAUCCAGCACAAAGCAGGAGGCAGAAUUACGUUGGGAAUCAGACUAUCUGGGAUUUAUAUAGUGGCUGUAACACUUUCUUAAUACGUGCCUGUGGGCAAGUUACUUGGCCUUUCUGUGCCUCAGUUUCCUCAUUUUUAACAAUGGGAGUACAGAUCUAGCAAGUGCCUGACACAGCGUAGAUGCUUGAUAUAGGAAUCUAACAAUUGCUACUUCCUCCAGAAACAUUUCAGUCCACAGGGAGCAUUGCUUUCUGUGAAGUUCAAAGAAAGUGUGGCCCAGUGAAAUGAACAUGAGUUUUAGAUUCAGAUAAAGCUGAGUCAGUUUGAAUACUCAUAUCCAAUAUUUUGUAAUUAUAUAAAUGGGUAUAAAAAUCUUUAUUUCAACAGUUUGUUGAGGAUUAAAAAGAGACAACACACACAGGGGCCUAGCAUACAGCAGGUACUCAACAGACGCUUAUUCUGCCAUCAUCAUUACUCAUAUUUAUCUGUUAUUAUCCUUCAUUUGCACUUCACUGUCUGAUAUCUUAUAAGCAUCUCUUGUGGAGUCAUUUAACUUUUCCUUAGGCCCAAACUCUGGCUUCCCCAGUAGAGUGUAAGUUAUUUGGGGUAGAACUAUAUGUUUCACUUCUCAGAGAUUCUCAUAAUGCCUUGCACAAGACCAUUCCCAGAGUAGGCACUCAAUAUGAAUUGAAUGAAUAAUAAAUAGGAGAAAGAGAGCGAGAAAGAGAGGAAGAGAGGUUUUGAUAAGUCAAGGGUUGUAUGAAGAAUAGACCUAGGAAUGGUUCAUGGAAAUCAAUGUAAAUGACUCUUGCAAAUGAGCAGACUGAAAUAUAUUUAGAGCUCCCUUAGGGGAAAAAAUUUCAUUUCCAUUCCUAGGAUAGAUAUUUAUCUGUUCAGAAUCAUUCAGAUAUAGUCCUGCCUGAAGAAAGAGGUAACCUCUCAAAUUCUUUCUUGACCUAUUAUAUAUAUUCUCUCUCUCUCUCUCCCUAUUUCUGUGUGUGUAUGAGUGUUUUUAAAAUCAAUGUAUCAAUAAUUUUAGACAGAGAGAAGACAACAUGAUUGUCUGAAUGAGAUGCAUAUUUUUCCACAGGGUACAAAUAAAAUAUUCCAAGAGAUAACACAGUUAGAUUUCAAAGUAUUACUAAGAAGAACUAGCUAUGUUUUUAUUAGUUGAAAGAAUCUCACUGCAAAUAAACCAAUCUGCUAUUUUAAUGCUAAACAGAAAAACUUUGAAUUAUGCAAAAAAAUAAUGCACAGCUUCUGAUGAUUAUAAAAUGCAUUACUAAAGGCUAUGAUGCAUCAUUUAUAGGCUACUAUUGGAAAUCUGAGCUCUGAGAGAUGAUUAGUUUAAAUAACUGAAAGGGAAAGUGACUUGGCAUAUGAGGAAAGAUAACUAUUUCACAAAAUAAGCCCACCAAAUUUGAGACAAUGAAUUAAACAACUUACAAAUCUGCUCAACAAAAGCAUAGGUAAAAAGAAAGAUCUAUGAAUCCUUUUAUCAAUUGCUUCUUAAGUAUUUAUUUAUUUUUAAUUAAUUUAAUUUUGUCACUCUGUCUUCCAGGCUGAGUGCAGUGGUGUGAUCAUAGCUCACUGCAGCCUCAGCCUCCUGGGUUCAAGCGAUCCUCCCACCUCAGCCUCCCGAGUAGAGGGACUACAGGCACGUACCACCACACCCAGCUAAUUUUUUAUUUUUUAUAGGCGAGGUCUCUCUAUGUUGCCCAGGUUUGUCUCCAACUCCUGGACUCAAGCAAUUCCCCUGCCUCGGCCUCCCAAAGUGCUGGGAUUACAGGCGUAAGCCACCGUGCUUGGCAUCUCCUUAAAUAUUUAAAUACAGUGGUGUCUCUCACUCUCAGAACCAAGGACUGUUGGAAUAUCCAGAGACAUCGUUUCAGAGGUCAUGAAUUUUGUAAAUUUUUUUAUUUUUAUUUUUGCAUGUUAACAAUAUAUUUUUUAAAUCUUGUAUAGUUUAACAACAAAACUGUAUUAGUUUUCUAUUACUGCUAUAACAAAGUACCACAAACUUAGUGGGUUAAAACAACAAAAUUUGUUAUCUUACAGUUCUGGAAGUCAGACACCUGACACAGUUUUCAUUGGACUAAAAUCAAGGUGUCAGCUAGCCUGGGCUUUUUCUGGAGGCUCUAGAGGAGAAACCAUUCUUGCCUUUGCAGCUUCUAGAGGGUAGCCGCAUUCCUUGGCCUGCAGCCUUCUUCUUCCUUCUUCAAAGCCAGUGAUGAAGCACGUGUCUGAGUCUGCUACCAUCGUCACAUCUCUUUCUCUGACUAAAGACUGGAAAGAUUCUCCAAGUAUAAGAAUUCAGAUUAUUAGAUUGGGGCCACCUGAAUAAUCUCCCUGUUUCAAGAUCCUUAAACAUAGUCACUUCUGCAAAGUUCCAUUUGCCAUGUAAGGCAACAUGUUUAUAGAUUAGAAUAUAGAUGUCUUUGGGGAGCCAUUAUUGUGCAAAACACAAGAACUCUUACCACUUACAAUUGGAACAAAAAAGCAGUUUCUUAGAAUAAUACUUUAGCUUUAUAAAUCAGCAUUUUUCAAAUUGGAGUCAGUAGACAUGCGAUCUUGAAUACCUAUGAUAUUUUUAAGAUGUUUCUUUAUUUGAGGAACACAGACAUUUAGUUUUUUCUAUUAGUUCUAGACCUGUUGUCUAAUCAGAGAUAAGAUUCCUAUAGGAAACAGUUAAUUUUUUUCAGCUCUAUCACCAAAGACCUCAUCUGAUAGGGAUGCCAUCUUGCAAAUAUAUACUUUGGGUUCAAGAGGGUCUAUGGUAAAGGGUACAUAGCAUUAUACACAAUGUAUUCUCAUUUCUGGAAAACCAACUCAAUAAUCGUUUUUUACUCCAGUGUAUCAGUAUCAUCAUUACCUGGUAGAAAGAAGAGUCCAUUAGACAACUCUUCAAAGAAUAACACAGGAGAAAGACUCUUACCAAGGGACUGUGAGCCUGAAGGAACUCACUUUUCCUGCUCUGUUAUUUUGCUUCUUUAUUAUACAGAAGAAACAGGACAUCUUUGCUCAAUCAACAUUAGAAACAGAAGCAGUUCGCCAAGUAGCAAGUGAAAGGUGUUAUAAGCAGAUAUAGGGUCUCCCUUUGUCAUCCAGGCUGGAGUGCAGUGGCAAGACCAUAGCUCACUGCAGCCUCAAGCUCCUGUACUCAAGUGAUCCUCCUGCCUCAGCCAAGAAGCUGCGACCACAGAUGCUGAGAUCCUACUCUCUCUCUCUGGUACUGUGCCAUCAUGGAACCCUGAAUAUACUCUGAUUUAAUGCAAUGAGACAGGCUGGACUGCAGUGGCAUGACCGUAGCUCAUUGUAACCUUGAACUCUUGGCCUCAAGCAAUCCUCCCACCUUGGAUCAUGUGUGAGCCACCCCACCUGGCCUUAGUUUAUAUUCUGUACCCUCUUUCUACCUGUUGAAGAUACCUAAUUCAGCAAGCCUAUUGCUAUUGCUUUUGUGUCAGCCAUGAAAAGAACACAAAUAGAUGGCAGAGACACCACGGUGGAAGAAACAACACACACUGCAGACACACCAACUCAGGAAGGACAGAGUCACUCUCAUUGGCUAAAUGUGUACAGUCCAGUUUGCUGAGCCAGUGCUUAUUGGCUGACUGCCUGUGAUAACAGAGCAUAGGAACAAUAUUGAUCACAGCAUAGUAUAAGAGAUUAUUAAGUAUAAUUUAUUUUAGGGAAAUAUUUCAGAGACAAAUACCAUUCUGAUGAGUCAAGCACAUAAAAUCCAUGAUAAAGAGAAUGUUUUGGAUGGGUAUGGGAGGGAGUUUCAAGGGACCCUGCCUCCUCCUGGAGGGCUGCAGUGUUGCCCUUCCAAGUUAAAACAAAAACUGCCUGGAGAAAUGCAAGGGGUCUUUGUGGGGCUCUGAAGACUUCCUGAAUCUGAAUAAAAAUGUUUCUUUAUUUGGUUAAGAAGACAAGAGUGCACAAAUCCUUGAAUCUGUCAUAGAAGGAGGGUAGUCUGAGUCUGGCGUGGCCUUCGUGUACUGUGCUGAAGAACACAGAAAUUUUUGAGAUAUUAUGCACAAAAGUAGGUUUUGGGUUACCCAAGUGCACUGUUCCUGACACUUGAAAUUGUACAUGGAGGUAGCUUAGGUGUUGCCCAAAUCAUGCAGGAAGCUUGAAGAAGAUACCUUACUCUCUUAUGCAAUGCCAAAUAUCAGACACGCACAUCUCCAAAUUUAAUAUAAAGUGCUGAGCUCUGAUAUUGAUAUAAAAUAUUAAACAUAUUUAUAAAGGUCACUUGCUGUUGGAAGUAACUGCUUGAGGAGAGGCUAAGGCUCAAGACACUUCAUGUGGGAGUGGCCAUGUACUUCAGCCAUUCUCCAUCCAAUCCACC
rnacentral:lncRNA from 10 species